AGUCGAACGGCAGCACGGAGCUUGCUCUGGUGGCGAGUGGCGAACGGGUGAGUAAUAUAUCGGAACGUACCCUGGAGUGGGGGAUAACGUAGCGAAAGUUACGCUAAUACCGCAUACGAUCUAAGGAUGAAAGUGGGGGAUCGCAAGACCUCAUGCUCGUGGAGCGGCCGAUAUCUGAUUAGCUAGUUGGUAGGGUAAAAGCCUACCAAGGCAUCGAUCAGUAGCUGGUCUGAGAGGACGACCAGCCACACUGGAACUGAGACACGGUCCAGACUCCUACGGGAGGCAGCAGUGGGGAAUUUUGGACAAUGGGCGAAAGCCUGAUCCAGCAAUGCCGCGUGAGUGAAGAAGGCCUUCGGGUUGUAAAGCUCUUUUGUCAGGGAAGAAACGGUGAGAGCUAAUAUCUUUUGCUAAUGACGGUACCUGAAGAAUAAGCACCGGCUAACUAC
rnacentral:rRNA from 1 species